UUUAAAGUCUAACCUGCCCUAUGAGGAUUUAAAUGGCCGCAGUAUUUUGACUGUGCAAAGGUAGCAUAAUAAUUAGUUUUUUAAUUGAAAGCUUGAAUGAAUGGUUGGACGAGAAAAUAACUGUCUUUAUUUUAUUGUUUUAGAAUUUUAUUUUUAAGUAAGAAAGCUUAAAUUUAUUUAAAAGACGAGAAGACCCUAUAGAAUUUUAUAGAUAGUUAAUUAUUACUUUUUGAAGGUAUUAAUUUUUUUGUAAUUAAGUAUUUAUUUUAUUGGGGUGAUAUAAAAAUUUAAAGAACUUUUUAUUUUUAAUACAUUAAUUUAUGAUUAAUUGAUCCAUAAUUUAUGAUUAUAAGAUUAAAUUACCUUAGGGAUAACAGCGUAAUUUUUUUUUAGAGUUCUUAUUGUAAGAAGAGUUUGCGACCUCGAUGUUGGAUUAAAAUUAACUUUUGGUGUAGGUGCUAUUAAGUUAGGUCUGUUCGACCUUUAAAAUUUUACA
rnacentral:rRNA from 1 species